AACGAACGCUGGCGGCAGGCCUAACACAUGCAAGUCGAGCGAGGACUUCGGUUCUAGCGGCGGACGGGUGAGUAACGCGUGGGAAUGUGCCCUUCUCUACGGAAUAGCCCUGGGAAACUGGGAGUAAUACCGUAUACGCCCUAUUGGGGAAAGAUUUAUCGGAGGAGGAUCAGCCCGCGUUGGAUUAGGUAGUUGGUGGGGUAAUGGCCUACCAAGCCGACGAUCCAUAGCUGGUUUGAGAGGAUGAUCAGCCACACUGGGACUGAGACACGGCCCAGACUCCUACGGGAGGCAGCAGUGGGGAAUCUUAGACAAUGGGGGCAACCCUGAUCUAGCCAUGCCGCGUGAGUGAUGAAGGCCUUAGGGUUGUAAAGCUCUUUCAGCUGGGAAGAUAAUGACGGUACCAGCAGAAGAAGCCCCGGCUAACUCCGUG
rnacentral:rRNA from 1 species